rnacentral:tRNA from 1 species
ACCUGGCUAGCUUAGUCGGUAGAGCAUGCAACUCUUGAUCUUAGGGUUGUGAGUUUGAACCCCACGUUGGGCA